UCGAGCGCCCCGCAAGGGGAGCGGCAGACGGGUGAGUAACGCGUGGGAAUCUACCCAUCUCUACGGAAUAACGCAUGGAAACGUGUGCUAAUACCGUAUACGUCCUUCGGGAGAAAGAUUUAUCGGAGAUGGAUGAGCCCGCGUUGGAUUAGCUAGUUGGUGGGGUAAAGGCCUACCAAGGCGACGAUCCAUAGCUGGUCUGAGAGGAUGAUCAGCCACACUGGGACUGAGACACGGCCCAG
rnacentral:rRNA from 1 species